AUACAGUACUGAAGUAUAAUCCAAGGAACAGAUCAGCAGAGACAGACAGGGAGACUCCACAUGAAGCUGCACUGCUGGUUGGAUUUCAGUUCAGUACAGAGAAGCCAUGACCAACUUGAUCAAGACAUCUCUCCUUUUAGCUGCCUGUUUCUCUGUGUGCUCUGCAGAGGGGGACUCUGUUUCUCAACUUAAAGAUGAGACGGGUCUGGAGGGCAGCAUGGUGACACUCAGCUGUCAGUAUGACACCACUGCAGCAGCAUCUGAACAGUAUCUCUUCUGGUACCAGCAGAAACCAAAUGGAUUCCCCAAGUAUAUGCUGCAGAAAACUAAUUUUGUUAAUGACACUCAUAAAGACUUUACUGAAAGAUUUACUGUCACACUUGACACAACAGCAAAAACAGUUCCUCUGACCAUCCAGGAUCUGCAAGUGUCUGACUCUGCUGUGUACUACUGUGCUCUGAGGCCCACAGUGGCAGCUGCAGACUCAACUCUCAUACAAAAACACCAGGGUAUUUACAAGUCAACUUUGCACAAUACUGAAAUAGCACCCUAG